GGCACUUUGGCGGAGUGGUUAACGCGAUGCCCUGCUAUAGUUCAAGAAUACUUGAAAAUAGUGUAGGCAUUCCCUUCGGGGGCGUGUGUUCGAAUCACACAGGUGUCG
rnacentral:tRNA from 1 species